rnacentral:rRNA from 1 species
CAGAGACCGAUAGCGCACAAGUAGAGUGAUCGAAAGAUGAAAAGCACUUUGAAAAGAGGGUUAAACAGCACGUGAAAUUGUUAAAAGGGAAGCGCUUGUGACCAGACUUGCGUCCGGUGAAUCACCCAGCUCUCGCGGCUGGGGCACUUCGCCGGCUCAGGCCAGCAUCAGCUCGCUGUCGGGGACAAAAGCUUCAGGAACGUAGCUCUCUUCGGGGAGUGUUAUAGCCUGUUGCAUAAUACCCUUCGGCGGGCUGAGGUACGCGCUCCGCAAGGAUGCUGGCAUAAUGGUCAUCAGCGACCCGUCUUGAAACACGGACCAAGGA